rnacentral:tRNA from 5 species
GGCGGCAUAGCCAAGCGAUAAGGCGGAGGACUGCAAAUCCCUGAUCCCCAGUUCAAAUCUGGGUGUCGCCU